AGGGGAGUGGCUCAACGGUAGAGCAACGGUCUCCAAAACCGUGGGUUGCGGGUUCGAAUCCUGUCUCCCCUGCCA
rnacentral:tRNA from 2 species